rnacentral:rRNA from 1 species
CAGCAGCCGCGGUAAUACGAGGGGUGCAAGCGUUAAUCGGAAUUACUGGGCGUAAAGCGUGCGUAGGCGGUUUGUUAAGUCUGUUGUGAAAUCCCCGGGCUCAACCUGGGAAUGGCAAUGGAUACUGGCAAGCUAGAGUGUGUCAGAGGAUGGUGGAAUUCCCGGUGUAGCGGUGAAAUGCGUAGAGAUCGGGAGGAACAUCAGUGGCGAAGGCGGCCAUCUGGGACAACACUGACGCUGAGGCACGAAAGCGUGGGGAGCAAACAGGACUAGAGACCCCCGUAGUCCCUGUCUCUUAUAC